CGUGUAGGCGGCCUGAUAAGUCAGACGUGAAAGCCCGCGGCUUAACCGCGGGACUGCGUUUGAAACUGACAGGCUUGAGGAUCGGAGAGGGCAGUGGAAUUCCCAGUGUAGCGGUAGAAAUGCGUAGAUAUUGGGAGGAACACCAGUGGCGAAGGCGACUGCCUGGACGACACCUGACGCUGAGGCGCGAAAGCUAGGGGAGCAAACGGGAUUAGAUACCCCGGUAGUCCUAGCCGUAAACGAUGGGUACUAGGUGUGGGAGGUAUCGACCCCUCCGUGCCGCAGUUAACACAAUAAGUACCCCGCCUGGGGAGUACGGCCGCAAGGUUGAA
rnacentral:rRNA from 1 species